ACGGAGUCGGCCGCCGCGACGGCGAGUGAAAGUGAGAGCUGGCCGCUGCCGCCACCAGAAGCCGUCUCCAGUCGGUCGUCCGCGCGCCACCGAAGAGGCCCGCCAGCGAGCGUUCGGGUCGAAGACGUCGCUACUGAGCUCCGCACUCUGCCUGCCGGGACUGUCCGCUGGCCGUGGGAAGCAGGUGGAGUCUCUGGAAAGAUGGAGGGGUUUGAGUACAACGCGACAACCGGCGACUCACCUCUGGUGCUGCCACCUGUGAGAGUGUCGGCGAUGUCCGUCAACAGGACAGCUGGUGCCACCUGUGAGCCUGAGAUGGUACCCUCUCUAAGGCAGUACUACACCGCGAUGAACGUGGUGGGGAUGUCGCUGUUCUCUGCGGGGGCGAUGGCCGUGGCGGCGACGCUGCUGCUGUACGUGGACACCCUGCGCCACGUCAUCGGCAGGGCGCCCUCCGCCGUCAAGACGCACACGGCGCUCGUACUCUCCAUAUACCCGGUGGUGGCGUCGGUGACCUACUGCGCUGUGGUGGUGCCGCGCGCGCAGCUGCUGUCGGAGGCGGUCACGCAGGGCAGCUUCAUGGUGUGCCUGUACCAGCUGUUCUGCCUGCUGGUGGCCUACUGCGGCGGUGAGGCGGAGCUCAUCCGGCGCGCCAAGCCCAGCUCCCUGGACCCAGCCGUGGGGCCCUGCUGCUGCUGGCCGUGCUGCCGGCUCUGCCUCAAGCCGGCCGCCGUCAACAAGUGCAACGUCCGCAAGCUGCGACUGUUGGUUCUGCAGCUGCCGAUGGUUCAGGGCCUUAUCUACAUGGUGCUGCUGGUCAUGUGGGCAGAAGAGGAGAGCCUGUACCAGGUGAACUACAUGUACCUGCAGCCCGUGGUCGUGCUGUCCAUCCUGUGUGCCAUCUGGGGGAUCUCGAUGACGCUGCGGCUGCUGGCAGAGCUGCUGUCGGGCCACCGUGCGCAGGCCAAGUUCCUCGCACUGCAGUUCGUACUGCUGCUGGCCAAGCUGCAGGGACUGUCUGCGCGGGCCGCAGUGUGGACAGGGCUGCUGCCCUGUCGGCCCCCUAUCACGCCUGCCGUCUACAGCAACUUGGUGUACAACUCUCUGAUGCUCGGUGAGAUGGUCAUCCUCAGCAUAUGGGCACGGUCGCUGUACAAGAAGCCACUUCCAGACAUGGGGCUGCCGGCACAGCGCCCCAUGGAAGUGUGUGUGCUCAGCAACCUGUAUCCACAUGUACUUUCCUCUCUCAACAACAACACAAUAACCUGCAAUAACAACAACACAGGUGCUGUCGAUAAUAACAGCAACAACAGAAAUGGCAGCUGUAGCAAUGGUGAAAGGAAUGAAGAUGACUCUGGAAAGAGCUGAUUGGCAGAUUUUGUGGCUCACUGAGUGAUAGACAGUAACGUGUGAUAAUGUUUUCUGGAGUGGAUGAUUAAAGACAUUUUUAUGGUGCUUAAGCCCCUGAGCUUUAAACUAGAAUGUGACAGUGAUGCAGGUUUAAUCUCAUAUCAGUGACUUAGUGUAACAUUUCCGACAGGAGAUGAACGAACGAAUGAGAGGGAGGCUCUGGACUCGCAGCCUGUCAUUGCCAACUGUUUAUGCUUUGGAGUGCUAGUCCAGCAACACAAACAAGAGGGCUUCUGUGAAGUUUGAAUAGAUGAAGAGACUACUGAAGCCGUGAGGGAAGGACAGGAAUCGUGUCUGGAUAGCUCAGUUGUCAACGACCAUGAAAGUUAAGGUUCUAAGUUCUAUGCCAGUUCCAUCAUACAGUUUGUGUCUGUCAGUAAAUUUUGGAACAGCGCAAACUCCACUGUAGAGUCAAAGUCUUAUCAGUCAAAACCUUUAGGUCAUUACUAUUUCAGUCACUGUUUCCCCUUCAACAAUUUUGUAAUAAAAUAUACAAUGUACCAAAUCCCAGGCUGCUUUGAGAAUAACUUUAUAAACUUUAUACACAAGUCACAUCUCAUUUGUGUCCCCAAUCCCAGUCAGAUUUUAGAUGACAUUCCUCCCCCCCUCCCCCAGCCACCCCCUCCCACUGUCUGUCAUCUGACUGGUAUGACAUGGGCUAUCAGAGACUCCUCCCCUACACUAGCCUCAUCACAUCAGAGCAGCACUUACACCCAAUGUCCUCAAUUACUUGUUGGAUAUAUUACAAUCUCUGUCAUCCCCUACAAUUUUUACCAUUUGAAAGAAUAUGCAAGUUAUUCCCUGGUGUCUUGACACACAUUCUAUCAUACUGUUAUUACUCCUCAUCUUUUCCACAUGUUUCUUUCCCCACUGAUUCUGUGAAGAACAUUCUCAUUCCUUAUCCUGUCAUUCUUCUGUAGCACCAUAUUUCAGAGAUUUCAGAAAUUUCUCUUCUCAUUUGGUUUUCACAUAGUCCAUGUUUCACUACCACUCAAUGCUGUACUCCAAGUGUUCAUUCUCAGAAAGUUCUUCUUCAAAAUUAUGGCCUAUGUUUGAUACCAGUAGACUUCUUUUGGACAAAAAUGCUCUUUUCACUGGUUCUAGUCCAUUUUUUAUGUUGUCUUUGCUUCUGCCAACAUGAGUUACUUUACUUCCAAAGUAAAAGAAGUCCUUAACUUCAUCUA